GGCUCGCUGCCGUAGUCUGGAGAAAGAAUCGCCAGGGUUGCGUUGCGGUGUGCCCCGGUUCGAGCCUCAGCGCUCGGCGCCGGCCGGAUUCCGCGGCUAACGUGGCGUGGCUGCCCCGUCGUUUCCAAGACCCCUUAGCCAGCCGACUUCUCCAGUUACGGAGCGAGCCCC
rnacentral:ncRNA from 1 species